rnacentral:rRNA from 1 species
AUUGAACGCUGGCGGCAGGCCUAACACAUGCAAGUCGAACGAGUGGCAGACGGGUGAGUAAUGUCUGGGAAACUGCCUGAGGGAGGGGUAUAACUUCUGGAAACGGUAGCUAAUACCGCAUACCAUCAGAUGUGCCCAGAUGGGAUUAGCUUGUUGGUGGGGUGACGGUUCACCAAGGCGACGAUCCCUAGCGGGUCUGAGAGGAUGACCAUCCACACUGGAACUGAGACACGGUCCAUACUCCUACGGGAGGCAGCAGUGGGGAAUAUUGCACAAUGGGCGCAAGCCUGAUGCAGCCAUGCCGCGUGUAUGAAGAAGGCCUUCGGGUUGUAAAGUACUUUCAGCGGGGAGGCGUUACCCGCAGAAGAAGCACCGGCUAACUCCGUGCCAGCCGCCGCGGUAAUUC